rnacentral:rRNA from 1 species
GAGGCAGCAGUGGGGAAUAUUGCACAAUGGGGGAAACCCUGAUGCAGCGACGCCGCGUGAGUGAAGAAGUAUUUCGGUAUGUAAAGCUCUAUCAGCAGGGAAGAAAAUGACGGUACCUGAGUAAGAAGCCCCGGCUAACUACGUGCCAGCAGCCGCGGUAAUACGUAGGGGGCAAGCGUUAUCCGGAUUUACUGGGUGUAAAGGGAGCGCAGACGGCUCUGCAAGUCUGAAGUGAAAGCCCGCGGCUUAACCGCGGGACUGCUUUGGAAACUGCAGGGCUUGAGUAUCGGAGGGGCAGGCGGAAUUCCUAGUGUAGCGGUGAAAUGCGUAGAUAUUAGGAAGAACACCGGUGGCGAAGGCGGCCUGCUGGACGAAAACUGACGUUGAGGCUCGAAGGCGUGGGGAGCAAACAGGAUUAGAUACCCUGGUAGUCCACGAGGUAAACGAUGAAUACUAGGGUUUGGAGCCCGAAGGGCAUCGGUGCAGUCGCAAGCGCAAUAAGUAUUCCACUUGGGGAGUACGAUCGCAAGAAUGAAAAUCAAAGGAAUUGACGGGGACCCGCACAAGCAGUGGAGCAGGUGGCUUAAUUCGAAGCAACGCGAUGAACCUUACCAAAUCUAGACAUCCUUCUGACCGCACCGUAAUGGGUGCUGUCCUUCGGGACAGGAGUGACAGGUGGUGCAUGGUUGUAGUCAGCUCGUGUCGUGAGAUGUUGGGUUAAGUCCCGCAACGAGCGCAACCCCUAUCGCCGGUAGCCAGCAGGUAAAGCUGGGCACUCCGGCGAGACUGCCCGGGAUAACCGGGAGGAAGGCGGGGAUGACGUCAAAUCAUCAUGCCCCCUAUGAUUUGGGCAACCCACGUGCUCCAAUGGCGUUUACAAAGAGAAGCGAGAACGGGAGUGUAAGCAAAGCUCAAAAAUACCGUGUCAGCUCGGACGGCAGUGUGCAACUCGACUGCACGAAGCUGGAAUUGAUAGUAAUCGAGAAUCAGCACGUCGCGGGGAAUAAGUUCCCGGGUCUUGCACUCGCCGCCCGUCA